rnacentral:rRNA from 1 species
AACCCCCCAACUGAUGAGAGCACAAACCAACCACCAACACCAAGGCUUCUUAUCCAAGAGUUUCACCCAAGUCAAUUUUUUGGUGAUCCGACAGAUCGAAUACCUAUAGAAGAUUAUGCCCCUGAAAUUCGAAGUGAAGUUAGGAGAGCUUAUUUGUUGAAAGGAAGAAACAAAGCUGAAGGGCAUAAUUUUGAAAUCACAUUGGAUGGUACAAUCCAAAGAUCUUUUCAACCACAAUGGCUAGAUAUGUAUGAUUGGUUGGAAUAUAGUGUGAAAAAGGAGGCUGCCUUUUGCUUCCAUUGUUUUCUUUUUAAGAAACCAACUCAGGCCGCAACAUUUGGAAAUGAUGUAUUCACAUUACAUGGUUAUCAUCGCUGGAAAACAGCUUUGGCAAAUUUUUAAAAACAUAUUGGUGGUCCAUCUAGUUACCACAAUAAUGCUAUAGGCUUGUGUGAUGAUUUCAACAAUCAAAGGGCAAAUGUGGCAACCAGGUUUCGUGUUUACAAUAAAGAGGCUGAGAUAGCCUACAAACGUUUGACUGCAUCAUUGGAUUGUGCAAGGUAUCUCAUAGCACAAGGGGAAGCUUUUCGUGGACAUGAUUAAUCCUCCAAUUCAAUCAACAAAGGGAAUUUUAGGGAGCUCUUGGACUGGUACAAGUGCAAGCGAAAAGAUGUGGAGGAGGCAUUUGAUAAGGGGAGAGGUAAUGCACUUAUGAUAUGUGGAGAUAUUCAAAAGGAUCUUGCUGCAUGUUGCGCAAUGGAGGUAACCAAAGUCAUCAAGAGUGAGCUUGGACAUAAGAAAUUUUUAGUUCUAGUCGAUGAGAGAGAUUGCUCAAUAAAGGAGCAAAUGGCAGUGAUUUUGAGAUUUGUAUCUAGUUUGUGUUGUGUGAAUUCGAGAUUUCUUGCAAUCAAGCACAUCUCUGAUUGAGGAGAAUUCAAUGGUUUGCAAAAGUUGAUUCGAGAUGAGAGCCCAUAUGCUUUCUAUGUACACUGCUUUGCCCAUCAAUUACAGUUGGUAGUUGUCGUUAUUGCUGAUUUCUUCAAUUAUCUCCCCUUUAUAGUGACUCAGGUGGGUUCAUCUUGCAAGAGAAAAGAUGUAUUACUUGCAAAGCAUCACGAUGAUUUGAUGAAACUGAUGGAGCAUGGUAAGAUAUUAGCUGGAACUGGGUUACAUCAAGAAACUAACCUAUCUAGACCAGGAGCUACUCGUUGGGGCUCACAUCUUAGAACCUUGCUUCGUAUUUACACAAUGUGGAAUGCAGUGGUCGAUGUGCUAGCAAUCGUGGUUGACGAUGCACGUGAACACACUUGUCAAGUUGGAGCUUCUGGUUUGAUCAUAAAGACGGAAUGUUUCCAAUUUGUGUUUAUCAUUUUAUUCUUAAUAAACUUGUUGCAAACCACAAAUAUGCUAUCACAAACUUUGCAAAGGAAGAAACAUGAUGUUGUUGAAGCCAUGCGUCUGAUCUCGGAUGUGAAAGAAACUUUGCAAGAUAUGAGGGACAAUGGAUAUGAGUCAUUAUGCAGCCAAGCCAAGAUCUUUUGUGAGGAACAUGGCAUUGAUGUGCCAAAUAUGGAUGAUCUUGUUGGAGCUACGGGUCAAUCUGUUUGCACCAGAAAUAAGGUGACUCGGCAUCAUUAUUUCAAAGUUAGCAUAUUCUAUGUUGUUAUUGAUGCAACUAUGACCGAGAUGAACCAUCGGUUCAAUGAAGUUAACACCGAGUUAGUGGAUUGCAUGUCCUGUCUUAAUCCAGCCAACAACUUUGCAAAGUUUAAUGUUGACAAACUUAUUCGGCUUGCUGAAAUUUAUGCGGAUGAUUUUACAGAAACUGACCAGUUGUUGCUUAGAAUUGACCUUCCAAGAUUCCUUCGAAAUAUCAGGAGAAGUGAGGAAUUUAAUGGAUGUUCGGAUGUUUCCACCCUUGCUCAGUUGAUGGUUCAAUCAACAAAGCAUGCAAAUUUCCCAAUAGUAUAUCGCCUCAUCGAGUUGAAAUUGAUCCUCCCAGUGGCAACUUCAUCCGUUGAGCGAAUAUUUUCAGCAAUGAACAUCAUCAAAACAGAUUUGCGCAAUAAGAUCUCGGAUGAUUGGCUCAAUGACUUAAUGGUAUGCUAUUGUGAGAAAAGGAUAUUCAAAAGUAUUCAUGAUGAUCAGAUCAUGAUACAAUUCCAGAAAAAGAGUGAUCGGAAAGCUCACUUGCCUCGUCAGUAUAAUGUGAUUGCUUAA